CGAACGCUGGCGGCGUGCCUAAUACAUGCAAGUCGAGCGGAUUGAUUUGGAGCUUGCUCCAAUGAUGUCAGCGGCGGACGGGUGAGUAACACGUGGGUAACCUGUCUGGCAGACUGGGAUAACGCUUGGAAGCGAGUGCUAAUACCGGAUAGGCUUUUGGAUCGCAUGAUUCGAAAGGGAAAGAGGCUAUCGCCUCACUGUUAGAUGGACCCGCGGCGCAUUAGCUAGUUGGUGAGGUAACGGCACACCAAGGCGACGAUGCGUAGCCGACCUGAGAGGGUGACCGGCCACACUGGGACUGAGACACGGCCCAGACUCCUACGGGAGGCAGCAGUAGGGAAUCUUCCACAAUGGGCGCAAGCCUGAUGGAGCAACGCCGCGUGAGUGAUGAAGGCCUCGGUUGUAAACGUACUGUCUUCUGUG
rnacentral:rRNA from 1 species